rnacentral:lncRNA from 1 species
CCGGUAGGCUGCAGCUCCGCCGUGGGCAUGCGCAGUACGCGCCCGCGGCUCUUUUUUUCGAGCGCCGGCGGGGCCGGGCUGAGCGGGCGGGGCGGGGCCGCAGGGCCGGGCGGGCUGGGAUUGGGCGGAGGCGCUCGAUGCUGAUUGGGCAGCGCUGCCGGCCCGCGGUAUAGAAGGGCGGGCGGGGCAGGUGCGGCCGGUUGUGUGUGAGGGCUGAGGGUGCGGCCCCGCUGCUGCCCGGGCUGCGGAGGGGAGAGCGCCUUGUCCCCUGGGUUUAUGGACUGGGAGAGCUGGGGGGCGUUUAGGGGCGCCUUGUGCUGGGCAGCGGGGGCCGGUUUGCAGCCUGGCUCGUGGUUUCCACUGGUGCUGGGGAGUGGAGGCGAGUUGUGCUUCCUGCUGGGAGAGAGAAGGGCCUUGGGAAGCUGCUCCAUGAGCCACAGCUGUGCCGAGCCUGGGAGUCUGUCCAGGUAAGAGCAGGGCUUAUACUGCCAGUGAGGANUCCCCAUCUUCCAGGAGAUAUACAUAUUAAAGUUUCAAAUGCUCUUCCUAAUCCUUUGUUGGCUUGAGGCUCUCCCCUGCAGGAACUCCAGGAACUCCUGGUGCCGCCUGGGCCGAUGGAUUGGACGCCCCAGCCCCUCCGUUCCUGCCCAGCCACUGAGUCCGUGUCGAGUGGUGGCACUGCCAGCCCUGCAGUGGGAUGUAGCCUGGAAAGUGCACAGAGCUGAGCCAAGGGAUUGAAAGGGACCAACCAAGGGAGGUGAAGAAAGAAGGCAGAAGGGAAGUGAGGCAUCAGCCAAGCAGCACCAAGUUCCUGUGGAAGCAGGUGAGUUGUCUUGAGGUUCCUCAGUCAGGCACUGAGGACUUGGAGGGCUCCAGACAGAGCAGACCUGGGAAGCCCUUCGGUGAAGCCCCUUGGAAACCUUCUAAGGGUAGGUGUGUAUGGUAAUAAGUGUGGGAGAGUGCCCUGAGUAUGGAAUAGGAAUGCAGGGAAGGAAAAUGAAUCCUC